CCUACGGGAGGCAGCAGUGGGGAAUAUUGGACAAUGGGGGCAACCCUGAUCCAGCCAUGCCGCGUGUGUGAAGAAGGCCCUCGGGUUGUAAAGCACUUUCAGUGAGGAAGAACGCCUGGUGGUUAAUACCCAUCAGGAAAGACAUCACUCACAGAAGAAGCACCGGCUAACUCCGUGUCAGCAGCCGCGGUAAUACGGAGGGUGCGAGCGUUAAUCGGAAUUACUGGGCGUAAAGCGCGCGUAGGUGGCUUGAUAAGCCGGUUGUGAAAGCCCCGGGCUCAACCUGGGAACGGCAUCCGGAACUGUCAAGCUAGAGUGCAGGAGAGGAAGGUAGAAUUCCCGGUGUAGCGGUGAAAUGCGUAGAGAUCGGGAGGAAUACCAGUGGCGAAGGCGGCCUUCUGGACUGACACUGACACUGAGGUGCGAAAGCGUGGGUAGCAAACAGGAUUAGAUACCCGGGUAGUC
rnacentral:rRNA from 1 species